ensembl:lncRNA
GUGGCUCUGCAGUCCCCGCCCCGGCUCCACGCGCUCCCUUCCUGCCUGGUCUAGGGACUUUCUUUUCCCUCUGGUCUUCUGCGGCUCUCUCGGGCUGAGGUUCCUGCUCACUCUCAUUCCUUGGUACCCCUCUCGUCUUCUCUCUUGUCCCUGUGUGGCCCAGUCACUCCCCGUCGGUCCUCAUCUUUGCCCAAGAGUUGUCUCGCCCUCACCCACUCUUUCCGGCAGGCCCCACCUCUUUGAGGUAGGACAGACCCCCUCCCGUCCAGAAAGUUGGAGGCGGGGACUUGUCCCGAUGGACCCCAGCCCGAGCUCGCCCGGAAGGGGGAGGGAAGGGCCGUGGGGGGUAGGGUUGGGGAAGGUUAUUCCAGGACUUACAGCUUCCCCGGAAGGAGGGAGUGGCUGCGUGUGACCCCUCUAGUUCCUGGACUAGGGUGAAAGGCUGCCCCUGGGAGCCUUUUUCUCGAGGAAGAGGUUUGGACAUAGUUAGGCUGGGGUGGGCUUUGGGGCAGUUGGGAAUCCCUGUGAGAGCUGCAGGAUGCCAAGUCAGGGUCAGGUCCUCAGCUACUGAAGGGUGAGGAAGGGACCAGGGAAGGACCAGCGCACUGGCACAGUGCCUCUUCCUUCAGUAAGAUUCCCACCUGUACCCUAGUUACAGGCCUGAUGGACCGUGGGGUGGCAGGGGAGAUAGAAGUGACAGACUGUCAGUCUCCUGUCAAACCUACUGAGGUCACUCCUUGCCAUCAAGGCCCUCCUGAGAGUCAGAGAGGCAGAUAUCUCAGAAAUAACUUCUGUACCCUGCAGCCUCUGGUACCUGGUGCUGUUAGGGGCAUGUAAAUAGGAUGAUUUAGCAGUUAUGAGGUGGGAAUUAUUAACUCUGAGUAGGAAUGGGGGAAGGGAGGCUGCAGAAGGAGGUGGAAGGUCUGAGAAGAAAGGAAACAAGAAACUGUAAGGAUCAGAGAGGGAGGAGAAAGGGAGGGAGGGAAACAUCAGUGCUCUAUGGGCUUUGCAUGUAGCAGAACUGGGUUUGAAUCCUUGCUCUGCCACAUCCUUGUGGUGUGACCUUGCAUGAGCCACUUCACCUCUCUGAGCUCCAGGUUCCUCCUUAGUCAAUAAUCUAGACCUUAUAGGCCUUAGCAGAGUCAAAUGAGGCACUAAAGCCUCAUCUGCUAAUCUGAAAGCAGACCAGCAUGGUGUUUUAAAAGGGAAGUGAGUAGGGAAGUCCUGAGGUUUCCCUUGAAUGUAUACAAGAGAAUCAGGCAGGGGCUGCCAGGUCACAGCCACAUGGGGCACAGGUGGAGCACUUGGGUGUGUGAGUGAAAUGAGGAGGCCCCACACCCAGCUGUCUCCUGAUCAACCCAUCUGCCUGUACCACCUAGACCAGGCUGGCCGCCCUCUGUAGGGCCCAGGUGCUAAUAGACACUCUUGGGGCUCUCAGGCUGCUCCACCCCCUAGACCAGUGGAGGGAGGGCCCAGGGAGGGCAGCGCCAGCACCCUCUCUGCAGAGUGGACCCUGGCCAGGAGCCUAGCUGGCUGUGCUGAGCAGGAAUAUCCCAUUCUGGCUGGGAAGAUGCUGAUGCUGUGUAGGCCCUGUAGCAGCCCAAAGCUCUGCUGGCUGGAGCCAGGCCCAGCUAGGGGCACCUGGGCUGCAGGGUGAGACAGAGUCUUGAGUGAGAGCAAGAAGGGAGAUACAAGGAGAGAAUCCUGAAGGGGACUAUGAAGUGGGAAAUCAGAGAAGAACUUAAUUUAUUUCAUAUGAUUAUUCCAAAGUCUUUCCUGAGCACCUACUGUGUGCUAUAUACAGGUUUGCCAGCUGAAGAGCUGAAAAGGAUACCAACAAAGGCCUCGCCAUAGAGGCUGAGAUUUGUUGGGUUUCAGAAUGGGUCUGUGUAUGUGUGGGGUCAGAAUUUCCCCAGUACUUAAGAUUCUGAGAUUUACUAAUAGAAUUAAGGUUCUACUGCUUUGUAGUCUGUGAGCCAGACACUUUUUUUCCUGGAUCUCAAUUUCCCUUUCUGUGAAAUGCAGAAACAAGGUUGAAUUUAGAAUCUCUGUUGAUGUUCUAGCACCCAUUACUAUCACACUGAGACCUGGUUUGGAAUUUAGUCUAUCACAUGCCCUUAACUCAUGUGAGGGGAUAGGAUGGGGCAAGGUCAAGGUUAAGUGUGAUGAGCCCACAAAUCCUUUUUUUUUUUUUUUUUUU